rnacentral:rRNA from 1 species
CUGGUUGAUCCUGCCAGACCCGACUGCUAUCAGAGUGGGACUAAGCCAUGCGAGUCAACAUAGCAAUAUGUGGCAUACGGCUCAGUAACACGUAGUCAACAUGCCCAGGGGACGUGGAUAACCUCGGGAAACUGAGGAUAAACCGCGAUAGGUCAUCACUUCUGGAAUGGGUAAUGACUUAAAUCUAUAUGGCCCCUGGAUUGGACUGCGGCCGAUCAGGCUGUUGGUGAGGUAAUGGCCCACCAAACCUGUAACCGGUACGGGCUCUGAGAGGAGGAGCCCGGAGAUGGGCACUGAGACAAGGGCCCAGGCCCUAUGGGGCGCAGCAGGCGCGAAACCUCUGCAAUAGGCGAAAGCUUGACAGGGUUACUCUGAGUGAUUUCCGUUAAGGAGAUCUUUUGGCACCUCUAAAAAUGGUGCAGAAUAAGGGGUGGGCAAGUCUGGUGUCAGCCGCCGCGGUAAUACCAGCACCCCAAGUGGUCGGGACGUUUAUUGGGCCUAAAGCAUCCGUAGCCGGUUCUACAAGUCCUCCGUUAAAUCCACCUGCUUAACAGAUGGGCUGCGGAAGAUACUAUAGAGCUAGGAGGCGGGAGAGGCAAGCGGUACUCGAUGGGUAGGGGUAAAAUCUGUUGAUCCAUUGAAGACCACCAGUGGCGAAGGCGGCUUGCCAGAACGCGCUCGACGGUGAGGGAUGAGAGCU